UGGGGAAUUUUGGACAAUGGGCGCAAGCCUGAUCCAGCCAUUCCGCGUGCAGGAUGAAGGCCCUCGGGUUGUAAACUGCUUUUGUACGGAACGAAAAGGUGCGGGUUAAUACCCUGCGCUGAUGACGGUACCGUAAGAAUAAGCACCGGCUAACUACGUGCCAGCAGCCGCGGUAAUACGUAGGGUGCAAGCGUUAAUCGGAAUUACUGGGCGUAAAGCGUGCGCAGGCGGUUUUGUAAGACAGGUGUGAAAUCCCCGGGCUUAACCUGGGAACUGCAUUUGUGACUGCAAGGCUGGAGUGCGGCAGAGGGGGAUGGAAUUCCGCGUGUAGCAGUGAAAUGCGUAGAUAUGCGGAGGAACACCGAUGGCGAAGGCAAUCCCCUGGGCCUGCACUGACGCUCAUGCACGAAAGCGUGGGGAGCAAACAGGAUUAGAUACCCUGGUAGUCCACGCCCUAAACGAUGUCAACUGGUUGUUGGUCCUUCACUGGAUCAGUAACGAAGCUAACGCGUGAAGUUGACCGCCUGGGGAGUACGGCCGCAAGGUUGA
rnacentral:rRNA from 1 species